rnacentral:rRNA from 1 species
CUAACUCAAAGGACUUGGCGGUGCUUUAGACCCCUUAGGGGAACCUGUUUCGUAAUCGACAGUCCACGUUACACCUUUCCUUUAGUUGCAAAUAUCAGUAUGUAUACCGUCGUCGUCAGGUAACUUUUAAGAACCAUAGAAGUUAGCCAUAAAAUUCGCUUAUAAGUUUUAACGUCAGAUCAAGGUGCAGCUCAUAAAAAGGAGAGAAUGGGUUACAAUUAAAAAUUAUAAUUAUGGAAGAGAAAUUGAAAUUUUUCUGAGGGAGGACUUGAAAGUAAAAAG